GUAGUCCACGCCGUAAACGAUGUCGACUUGGAGGCUGUGCCCUUGAGGCGUGGCUUCCGGAGCUAACGCGUUAAGUCGACCGCCUGGGGAGUACGGCCGCAAGGUUAAAACUCAAAUGAAUUGACGGGGGCCCGCACAAGCGGUGGAGCAUGUGGUUUAAUUCGAUGCAACGCGAAGAACCUUACCUGGUCUUGACAUCCAGAGAAUCCUGCAGAGAUGCGGGAGUGCCUUCGGGAACUCUGAGACAGGUGCUGCAUGGCUGUCGUCAGCUCGUGUUGUGAAAUGUUGGGUUAAGUCCCGCAACGAGCGCAACCCUUAUCCUUUGUUGCCAGCGGUUAGGCCGGGAACUC
rnacentral:rRNA from 1 species